AGUGAACGCUGGCGGUAGGCCUAACACAUGCAAGUCGAACGGCAGCACAGUAAGAGCUUGCUCUUACGGGUGGCGAGUGGCGGACGGGUGAGGAAUACAUCGGCAUCUACUUUUUCGUGGGGGAUAACGUAGGGAAACUUACGCUAAUACCGCAUACGACCUACGGGUGAAAGCAGUGGAUCUUCGGACCUUGCGCGAUUGAAUGAGCCGAUGUCGGAUUAGCUAGUUGGCGGGGUAAAGGCCCACCAAGGCGACGAUCCGUAGCUGGUCUGAGAGGAUGAUCAGCCACACUGGAACUGAGACACGGUCCAGACUCCUACGGGAGGCAGCAGUGGGGAAUAUUGGACAAUGGGCGCAAGCCUGAUCCAGCCAUACCGCGUGGGUGAAGAAGGCCUUCGGGUUGUAAAGCCCUUUUGUUGGGAAAGAAAAGCAGCAGGUUAAUACCCCGCUGUUCUGACGGUACCCAAAGAAUAGGCACCGGCUAACUUCGUG
rnacentral:rRNA from 1 species